AAACCAACAGGGAUUGCCUUAGUAGCGGCGAGUGAAGCGGCAAAAGCUCAAAUUUGAAAUCUGGUACUUUCAGUGCCCGAGUUGUAAUUUGAAGAAGGUAUCUUUGGACCUGGCUCUUGUCUAUGUUCCUUGGAACAGGACGUCACAGAGGGUGAGAAUCCCGUGCGAUGAGAUGCUCCAGGUCUAUGUAAAGUUCCUUCGAAGAGUCGAGUUGUUUGGGAAUGCAGCUCUAAGUGGGUGGUAAAUUCCAUCUAAAGCUAAAUAUUGGCGAGAGACCGAUAGCGAACAAGUACAGUGAUGGAAAGAUGAAAAGAACUUUGAAAAGAGAGUGAAAAAGUACGUGAAAUUGUUGAAAGGGAAGGGCUUGAGAUCAGACUUGGUAUUUUGUAUGUUGUUCUUUCGGGGGCGGCCUCUACAGUUUACCGGGCCAGCAUCGGUUUGAACGGUAGGAUAAUGGUAAAGAAAUGUGGCAUUACUUGUAAUGUGUUAUAGUCUUUAUUGAUACUGCCAGUUUAGACCGAGGACUGCGAUUUUUAUCUAGGAUGUUGGCAUAAUGAUCUUAAGUCGC
rnacentral:rRNA from 2 species